rnacentral:rRNA from 1 species
AUUGAACGCUGGCGGCAUGCCUUACACAUGCAAGUCGAACGGCAGCGGGGACUUCGGUCCGCCGGCGAGUGGCGAACGGGUGAGUAAAGUAUCGGAACGUACCUUUCAGUGGGGGAUAACGUAGCGAAAGUUACGCUAAUACCGCAUAUUCUGUGAGCAGGAAAGCAGGGGAUCGCAAGACCUUGCGCUGAUUGAGCGGCCGAUAUCAGAUUAGCUAGUUGGUGAGGUAAAGGCUCACCAAGGCGACGAUCUGUAGCGGGUCUGAGAGGAUGAUCCGCCACACUGGAACUGAGACACGGUCCAGACUCCUACGGGAGGCAGCAGUGGGGAAUUUUGGACAAUGGGCGCAAGCCUGAUCCAGCCAUGCCGCGUGAGUGAAGAAGGCCUCGGUUG